rnacentral:rRNA from 1 species
AUUGAACGCUGGCGGCAUGCCUUACACAUGCAAGUCGAACGGCAGCACGGGUGCUUGCACCUGGUGGCGAGUGGCGAACGGGUGAGUAAUACAUCGGAGCGUACCUUAUCGUGGGGAUAACGCAGCGAAAGCUGUGCUAAUACCGCAUACGCCCUGAGGGGGAAAGCGGGGGAUCGCAAGACCUCGCGCGAUUAGAGCGGCCGAUGCCUGAUUAGCUAGUUGGUGGGGUAAAAGCCCACCAAGGCGACGAUCAGUAGCUGGUCUGAGAGGACGAUCAGCCACACUGGGACUGAGACACGGCCCAGACUCCUACGGGAGGCAGCAGUGGGGAAUUUUGGACAAUGGGGGCAACCCUGAUCCAGCAAUGCCGCGUGAGUGAAGAAGGCCUUCGGGUUGUAAAGCUCUUUUGUCAGGGAAGAAACACCGGCUCUAACACAGUCCGGGAAUGACGGUACCUGAAGAAUAAGCACCGGCUAACUACGUGCCAGCCGCCGCCGUAA